UCGUUUGAGCGAUGGAGGGACGCAGGAGGAUAGGGUAAGCGCACUGCUGGAUAUGUGCGUCUAAGCAGUUAGGCUGUAAAUGAGGCAAAUCCCAUUUACGCGAAGGCUGAGCUGUGAUAGCGAGGGAAAUAUAGUACCGAAGUUCCUGAUUCCACACUGCCAAGAAAAGCUUCUAGCGAGAUAAAAGGUGCCCGUACCGC
rnacentral:rRNA from 1 species